GAACGGCAGCACAGCAGAGCUUGCUCUGUGGCUGGCGAGUGGCGGACGGGUGAGUAAUGCAUCGGGACCUACCCAGACGUGGGGGAUAACGUAGGGAAACUUACGCUAAUACCGCAUACGUCCUACGGGAGAAAGCGGGGGAUCGCAAGACCUCGCGCGGUUGGAUGGACCGAUGUGCGAUUAGCUAGUUGGUGAGGUAAUGGCUCACCAAGGCGACGAUCGCUAGCUGGUCUGAGAGGAUGAUCAGCCACACUGGGACUGAGACACGGCCCAGACUCCUACGGGAGGCAGCAGUGGGGAAUAUUGGACAAUGGGCGCAAGCCUGAUCCAGCAAUGCCGCGUGUGUGAAGAAGGCCCUCGGGUUGUAAAGCACUUUUAUCAGGAGCGAAAUCUGCAAGGUUAAUACCUUUGCAGUCUGACGGUACCUGAGGAAUAAGCACCGGCUAACUCCGUG
rnacentral:rRNA from 1 species